UGGUUAGAGCGUUGGGCCAGUAACCAGCAGGUAGCCUAGUGGUUAGAGCGUUGGGCCAGUUACCAGCAGGUAGCCUAGUGGUUAGAGCGUUGGGCCAGUAACCAGCAGGUAGCCUAGUGGUUAGAGCGUUGGGCCAGUAACCAGCAGGUAGCCUAGUGGUUAGAGCGUUGGACUAGUAACCAGCAGGUAGCCUAGUGGUUAGAGCGUUGGACCAGUAACCAGCAGGUAGCCUAGUGGUUAGAGUGUUGGGCCAGUAACCAGCAGGUAGCCUAGUGGUCAGAGCGUUGGACUAGUAACCAGCAGGUAGCCUAGUGGUUAGAGUGUUGGGCCAGUAACCAGCCGGUAGCCUAGUGGUUAGAGUGUUGGACUAGUAACCAGCAGGUAGCCUAGUGGUUAGAGUGUUGGGCCAGUAACCAGCAGGUAGCCUAGUGGUUAGAGCGUUGGGCCAGUAACCAGCAGGUAGCCUAGUGGUUAGAGCAUUGGGCCAGUAACCAGCAGGUAGCCUAGUGGUUAGAGCGUUGGGCCAGUAACCAGCAGGUAGCCUAGUGGUUAGAGCGUUGGACCAGUAACCAGCAGGUAGCCUAGUGGUUAGAGCGUUGGGCCAGUAACCAGCAGGUAGCCUAGUGGUUAGAGCGUUGGGCCAGUAACCAGCAGGUAGCCUAGUGGUUAGAGCGUUGGGCCAGUAACCAGCAGGUAGCCUAGUGGUUAGAGCGUUGGGCCAGUAACCAGCAGGUAGCCUAGUGGUUAGAGCGUUGGACUAGUAACCAGCAGGUAGCCUAGUGGUUAGAGCGUUGGACCAGUAACCAGCAGGUAGCCUAGUGGUUAGAGUGUUGGGCCAGUAACCAGCAGGUAGCCUAGUGGUUAGAGUGUUGGGCCAGUAACCAGCAGGUAGCCUAGUGGUUAGAGUGUUGGACCAGUAACCAGCAGGUAGCCUAGUGGUUAGAGCGUUGGUCCAGUAACCAGCAGGUAGCCUAGUGGUUAG